UCCCUGACCGCGUAUGAAAGUACGUUUUCACCCUCGGGUGACAGGAGACAGGUGGUGCAUGGUUGUCGUCAGCUCGUGUCGUGAGAUGUUGGGUUAAGUCCCGCAACGAGCGCAACCCCUACGUUUAGUUGCUAACGCGUGAAGGCGAGCACUCUAGACGAACUGCCGUUGACAAAACGGAGGAAGGUGGGAUGACGUCAAAUCAUCAUGCCCCUUAUGUUCUGGGCUACACACGUGCUACAAUGGCCGGUACAGACGGACGCAAAGCCGCGAGGUGGAGCAAAUCCUAAAAAGCCGGUCUCAGUUCGGAUUGCAGGCUGCAAUUCGCCUGCAUGAAGUCGGAAUCGCUAGUAAUCGCAGGUCAGCAUACUGCGGUGAAUACGUUCCCGGGCCUU
rnacentral:rRNA from 1 species